GGAAACGAACGCUAAUACCGCAUGACAUUGUUGAGUCGCAUGACAUGACAAUCAAAGGAGCAAUCCGCUGAAAGAUGGGCUCGCGUCCGAUUAGGUAGUUGGUGGGGCAACGGCCCACCAAGCCGACGAUCGGUAGCCGGACUGAGAGGUUGAACGGCCACAUUGGGACUGAGACACGGCCCAGACUCCUACGGGAGGCAGCAGUGAGGGAUAUUUGGUCAAUGGGGGAAACCCUGAACCUGCAACGCCGCGUGAGGGAAGACGGUUUUCGGAUUGUAAACCUCUGUCCUCUGUGAAGACAAUGACGUGAGCAGAGGAGGAAGCUCCGGUUAACUACGUGCUCGCAGCCGCUGGUAAUACUCAAGGAGCAAUCGUUGUCUCGGAUUUACUGGGGGCAAAGGGCGCGUACGCGGCUUUGCCACUCAUAAGUGAUAUCUUUGGUGCUUUCCCGUGAACUGUUUUUGAAACUGCAGAGCUUGAGUGGAGUAGAGGGUAGGCGGAAUUCCCGGUGUUAGCGUUGAAAUGCGUUGAGAUCGGGAGGAACACCAGUGGCGAAGGCGGCCUACUGGGCUCUAACUGACGCUGAGGCACGAAAGCGUGGGUAGCAAACAGGAUUAGAUACCCUGGUAGUCCACGCUGUAAACGAUGAUUACUAGGUGUGGGUGGACUGACCCCAUCCGUGCCGGAGUUAACACAAUAAGUAAUCCACCUGGGGAGUACGACCGCAAGGUUGAAACUCAAAGGAAUUGACGGGGGCCCGCACAAGCAGUGGAGUAUGUGGAUUAAUUCGAUGCAACGCGAAGAACCUUACCAGGUCUUGACAUCCCGCUAACGAAGUAGAGAUACAUUAGGUGCCCUUCGGGGAAAGCGGAGACAGGUGGUGCAUGGUUGUCGUCAGCUCGUGUCGUGAGAUGUUGGGUUAAGUCCCGCAACGAGCGCAACCCUUACUGUUAGUUGCUACGCAAGAGCACUCUAGCAGGACCGCCGUUGACAAAACGGAGGAAGGUGGGGAUGAUGUCAAAUCAUCAUGCCCCUUAUGACCUGGGCCUCACACGUACUACAAUGGCCAUCAACAGAGGGAAGCAAAGCCGCGAGGCAGAGCAAAACCCUAAAAAUGGUCUCAGUUCGGAUCGUAGGCUGAAACCCGCCUGCGUGAAGUUGGAAUAGGUAGUAAUCGCGGAUCAGCAUGCCGCGGUGAA
rnacentral:rRNA from 1 species